rnacentral:rRNA from 1 species
AACGAACGCUGGCGGCAUGCCUAACACAUGCAAGUCGAACGGGACCUUCGGGUCUAGUGGCGCACGGGUGCGUAACGCGUGGGAACCUGCCUUUAGGUUCGGAAUAACUCAGAGAAAUUUGAGCUAAUACCGGAUGAUGUCUUCGGACCAAAGAUUUAUCGCCUUUAGAUGGGCCCGCGUUGGAUUAGCUAGUUGGUGGGGUAAAGGCCUACCAAGGCGACGAUCCAUAGCUGGUCUGAGAGGAUGAUCAGCCACACUGGGACUGAGACACGGCCCAGACUCCUACGGGAGGCAGCAGUGGGGAAUAUUGGACAAUGGGCGAAAGCCUGAUCCAGCAAUGCCGCGUGAGUGAUGAAGGCCUUAGGGUUGUAAAGCUCUUUUACCCGAGAUGAUAAUGACAGUAUCGGGAGAAUAAGCGCCGGCUAACUCCGUG